rfam:Rattus norvegicus chromosome 4, whole genome shotgun sequence.
GGGGAUUUAGCUCAGUGGUAGAGCGCUUGCCUAGGAAGCGCAAGGCCCUGAGUUCAGUCCCCA